rnacentral:lncRNA from 1 species
UCUAGAUAAACCAGUGCACGGUUUGCUUCUUUUAAAAUAGAUGAGUCUCUAAUCUAUGGUGUAAAAAUACUGAGCAGAAAGUGCGGAUAGUUGUUAGAGAACAACUAGUACUGAGCAUGACCGUACGAGAGAUCACAUAGAUUUCUAUCCAAUCGUCAGUGAUCAUCUCGAUACUGUAGUUGUGUGACUGAUUCUUUGACCUGUGGUAUCAUAGUUGCUCACAGUAAAACUGCUAAAAUUUGACUAUGCAUAAAUAUUAACUCGAUUAUGAGUUUUUAUAGUGGAUGUUGGCAAAAUUGGUUGAGCUAUGCGAGCGAUGUGUGCAUCUAGAUGGGAUCUAUCGACCUUGAUAGAGAGAAAUAGUCCUAUGAGAUUUGAGAAGCUA